rnacentral:rRNA from 1 species
GACGAACGCUGGCGGCGUGCCUAACACAUGCAAGUCGAACGGUAAGGCCCUUCGGGGUACACGAGUGGCGAACGGGUGAGUAACACGUGGGUGAUCUGCCCUGCACUUCGGGAUAAGCCUGGGAAACUGGGUCUAAUACCGGAUAGGACCACUGCCUGCAUGGGUGGUGGUGGAAAGCUUUUGCGGUGUGGGAUGGGCCCGCGGCCUAUCAGCUUGUUGGUGGGGUGAUGGCCUACCAAGGCGACGACGGGUAGCCGGCCUGGGAGGGUGACCGGCCACACUGGGACUGAGAUACGGCCCAGACUCCUACGGGAAGCAGCAGUGGGGAAUAUUGCACAAUGGGCGCAAGCCUGAUGCAGCGACGCCGCGUGAGGGAUGACGGCCUUCGGGUUGUAAACCUCUUUCAGCACCGACGAAGCGCAAGUGACGGUAGGUGCAGAAGAAGGACCGGCCAACUACGUGCCAGCCGCCGCGGUAA